GCGAGUGUGGCGGAACAGGUAGACGCGCGGGACUUAAAAUCCCGUUCCAGUUUAUGGAGUGUGGGUUCGAUUCUCACCAUUCGCACCA
rnacentral:tRNA from 4 species